rnacentral:rRNA from 1 species
GUCUAUGGCCAUGCCACCCUGAAUGUGCCCAAUCCUGUCUGUUCUCAGAAGCUAAGCAGAGUCGGGCCUGGUUAGUACUUGGAUGGGAGACCACCUAGGAAUACCAGGUGCUGUAGCGA